UAAACCGGAGGAAGGUGGGGAUGACGUCAAAUCAUCAUGCCCCUUAUGGCCUGGGCUACAAACGUAAUACAAUGGCGUAUACAAAGGGAUGCGAAAGGGCGACCUGGAGCAAAACUCACAAAGUACGUCUCAGUUCAGAUUGGAGUCUGCAACUCGACUCCAUGAAGGCGGAAUCGCUAGUAAUCGCGGAUCAGCAUGCCGCGGUGAAUACGUUCUCCGGGGUUU
rnacentral:rRNA from 1 species